rnacentral:pre_miRNA from 1 species
UCUCCUUUGGAUCUUUUUGCGGUCUGGGCUUGCUGUUCUUUCCACGGUAGUCAGGAAGCCCUUACCCCAAAAAGUAUCUACGGGGGGCG